CGAAAAUCUAAUCGAUAAGAAGCUACAAGUUGUGAAUCAAGCAUUCUCUGCUUGAACCACAAUCGCAUCCUUCCUAGAAGACAAGCUUCAAAUAAUUUCAAUAUAAUGCUUAAUUUAGCAAAGUUGUCAGUUUCAGGCUCUACAUUCUGUGGGAUUUGCCUUGUCAUUUAUAGAUUUGCCUAAGAAACGGCAUCCAACUUGUUACUUUUAUUUAGCAAAUCCUAGCUUUAUUUGGUGAAAGUUUUCUGAAUUGUUCAUGUUUAUAUUCAGGUAUCAAAAGCUGAUCAAUCCGAGAGAACACUAGUUUUACAGAACAGAUUUGAUUGAUAUUCAUAUGUCAACUUCUUUCUCUUCUGCAGGAUCAAAAGAGAAGAAGCCAAAAUCACUGCUUGGGAGAAUUUGCAGAAGGCAAAAGCUGAGGCAGCCAUAAGGAAACUGGAGAUGAAGCUGGAAAAGAAGAGAUCAUCAUCAAUGGAUAAGAUAAUGAAUAAACUGAGAUCAGCUCAAAAGAGAGCCCAAGAAAUGCGAAGUUCGAUGUUAGCCAACCAGGCCCAGCAAGUUACAAGGACCUCACAUAAGGCCAUAUCAUUCAGUAGAACCCGCCAGAUGGGUUCAUUGAGCGGUUGCUUCACCUGCCAUGCUUUCUAAUUCCUUACUUGGCUAUCUGUUAAUGGUUCAACUAGGCGUGAAAUGCCAGUUUGAAGAACAAAGACCCCUGGAGACUAUGAAUAUUGUACAGGAAGCAACUUCAAUACUGACGCUAAAUUGGUGUCACUGCAGUUUUGCAUGAAUGAAACACCACUAUCUCCAUCAAGGUUCCAGAUAAGAACAAGACCCCAAUUGCUAUCCGCCGGACCUUCAUAAUUUCCUAAUGUUUGACUAAUAAAAUCCUGUAUGCAUGUCUGUAUGUAAAUCAACCUUUUCGAGUGUUCUUUCUUACUAUAAAUGACAGUUUGCCAUGGAAAUGGAAAUAUCGUUCAUGUCUUUUACUUUCUUAA